UGGGGAAUCUUGGACAAUGGGGGAAACCCUGAUCGAGCGACGCCGCGUGGAGGAUGAAGGCCUUCGGGUCGUAAACUCCUGUCAUGCGGGAACAAGAAAGUGAUAGUACCGCAAGAGGAAGAGACGGCUAACUCUGUGCCAGCAGCCGCGGUAAUACAGAGGUCUCAAGCGUUGUUCGGAUUCAUUGGGCGUAAAGGGUGCGUAGGUGGCGAUGUAAGUCUGAUGUGAAAUCUCGGGGCUCAACCUCGAAAUUGCAUUGGAUACUGCGUUGCUUGAGGAUUGUAGAGGAGAGUGGAAUUCACGGUGUAGCAGUGAAAUGCGUAGAUAUCGUGAGGAAGACCAGUUGCGAAGGCGACUCUCUGGGCAAUUCCUGACACUGAGGCACGAAGGCCAGGGGAGCAAA
rnacentral:rRNA from 1 species